rnacentral:rRNA from 2 species
AGUGUGACUCGUCACACUAUCAUUAACUGAAUCCAUAGGUUAAUGAGGCGAACCGGGGGAACUGAAACAUCUAAGUACCCCGAGGAAAAGAAAUCAACCGAGAUUCCCCCAGUAGCGGCGAGCGAACGGGGAGGAGCCCAGAGCCUGAAUCAGCAUGUGUGUUAGUGGAAGCGUCUGGAAAGGCGCGCGAUACAGGGUGACAGCCCCGUACACAAAAGCGCAUGUGCUGUGAGCUCGAUGAGUAGGGCGGGACACGUGGUAUCCUGUCUGAAUAUGGGGGGACCAUCCUCCAAGGCUAAAUACUCCUGACUGACCGAUAGUGAACCAGUACCGUGAGGGAAAGGCGAAAAGAACCCCGGCGAGGGGAGUGAAAAAGAACCUGAAACCGUGUACGUACAAGCAGUGGGAGCACCCUUUGGGUGUGACUGCGUACCUUUUGUAUAAUGGGUCAGCGACUUAUAUUCUGUAGCAAGGUUAACCGAAUAGGGGAGCCGGAGGGAAACCGAGUCUUAACCGGGCGUUAAGUUGCAGGGUAUAGACCCGAAACCCGGUGAUCUAGCCAUGGGCAGGUUGAAGGUUGGGUAACACUAACUGGAGGACCGAACCGACUAAUGUUGAAAAAUUAGCGGAUGACCUGUGGCUGGGGGUGAAAGGCCAAUCAAACCGGGAGAUAGCUGGUUCUCCCCGAAAGCUAUUUAGGUAGCGCCUCGUGAAUUCAUCUCCGGGGGUAGAGCACUGUUUCGGCUAGGGGGCCAUCCCGGCUUACCAACCCGAUGCAAACUGCGAAUACCGGAGAAUGUUAUCACGGGAGACACACGGCGGGUGCUAACGUCCGUCGUGAAGAGGGAAACAACCCAGACCGCCAGCUAAGGUCCCAAAGUCAUGGUUAAGUGGGAAACGAUGUGGGAAGGCCCAGACAGCCAGGAUGUUGGCUUAGAAGCAGCCAUCAUUUAAAGAAAGCGUAAUAGCUCACUGGUCGAGUCGGCCUGCGCGGAAGAUGUAACGGGGCUAAACCAUGCACCGAAGCUGCGGCAGCGACACUGUGUGUUGUUGGGUAGGGGAGCGUUCUGUAAGCCUGUGAAGGUGUGUCGUGAGGCAUGCUGGAGGUAUCAGAAGUGCGAAUGCUGACAUAAGUAACGAUAAAGCGGGUGAAAAGCCCGCUCGCCGGAAGACCAAGGGUUCCUGUCCAACGUUAAUCGGGGCAGGGUGAGUCGACCCCUAAGGCGAGGCCGAAAGGCGUAGUCGAUGGGAAACGGGUUAAUAUUCCCGUACUUGGUGUUACUGCGAAGGGGGGACGGAGAAGGCUAUGUUGGCCGGGCGACGGUUGUCCCGGUUUAAGCGUGUAGGUGUGUGUUCCAGGUAAAUCCGGUUCACUUUAACACUGAGGCGUGACGACGAGGCACUACGGUGCUGAAGCAACAAAUGCCCUGCUUCCAGGAAAAGCCUCUAAGCAUCAGGUAACAUCAAAUCGUACCCCAAACCGACACAGGUGGUCAGGUAGAGAAUACCAAGGCGCUUGAGAGAACUCGGGUGAAGGAACUAGGCAAAAUGGUGCCGUAACUUCGGGAGAAGGCACGCUGACACGUAGGUGAAGUGAUUUACUCAUGGAGCUGAAGUCAGUCGAAGAUACCAGCUGGCUGCAACUGUUUAUUAAAAACACAGCACUGUGCAAACACGAAAGUGGACGUAUACGGUGUGACGCCUGCCCGGUGCCGGAAGGUUAAUUGAUGGGGUCAGCGCAAGCGAAGCUCCUGAUCGAAGCCCCGGUAAACGGCGGCCGUAACUAUAACGGUCCUAAGGUAGCGAAAUUCCUUGUCGGGUAAGUUCCGACCUGCACGAAUGGCGUAAUGAUGGCCAGGCUGUCUCCACCCGAGACUCAGUGAAAUUGAACUCGCUGUGAAGAUGCAGUGUACCCGCGGCAAGACGGAAAGACCCCGUGAACCUUUACUAUAGCUUGACACUGAACAUUGAGCCUUGAUGUGUAGGAUAGGUGGGAGGCUUUGAAGUGUGGACGCCAGUCUGCAUGGAGCCGACCUUGAAAUACCACCCUUUAAUGUUUGAUGUUCUAACGUGGACCCGUUACCCGGGUUGCGGACAGUGUCUGGUGGGUAGUUUGACUGGGGCGGUCUCCUCCUAAAGAGUAACGGAGGAGCACGAAGGUUGGCUAAUCCUGGUCGGACAUCAGGAGGUUAGUGCAAUGGCAUAAGCCAGCUUGACUGCGAGCGUGACGGCGCGAGCAGGUGCGAAAGCAGGUCAUAGUGAUCCGGUGGUUCUGAAUGGAAGGGCCAUCGCUCAACGGAUAAAAGGUACUCCGGGGAUAACAGGCUGAUACCGCCCAAGAGUUCAUAUCGACGGCGGUGUUUGGCACCUCGAUGUCGGCUCAUCACAUCCUGGGGCUGAAGUAGGUCCCAAGGGUAUGGCUGUUCGCCAUUUAAAGUGGUACGCGAGCUGGGUUUAGAACGUCGUGAGACAGUUCGGUCCCUAUCUGCCGUGGGCGCUGGAGAACUGAGGGGGGCUGCUCCUAGUACGAGAGGACCGGAGUGGACGCAUCACUGGUGUUCGGGUUGUCAUGCCAAUGGCACUGCCCGGUAGCUAAAUGCGGAAGAGAUAAGUGCUGAAAGCAUCUAAGCACGAAACUUGCCCCGA